rnacentral:rRNA from 1 species
AUGCUUGCUGAUGGCGCCGAGGAACAAAUGGAGCGGCAGGAUAUUGAAAUGCAGAUUAGAUGGAAGGGGCUCACUUUAAACAAAUUUGCAUACGACUUGAGCCAAUACAUACCAUGGGGCCCAUGGCAGGAGGUGCAUCUGUUUGGCUAUGAUACGGAUUCUGAUGAGGAAUGCAGACUGUUUAGCACCAAGCAAUUGAGAAGCCAUUUGCUUGACCAUAUGUGGGGAGAGGAAGAAAAGGUGAAGAUGCUAGUUGAGGUGCAUACAAAACCUGCUAAGAAAUCUGCCGCGAAGAGAGCUAACAAGCCUACUAAGGAACCAGCUGCUAAGAAACCUAAGAAGGCACCUGUUGAGAAGGCACCUAAAAUCCUAAAAUCAGCUAUGGAUGAUGUACUAUGCAGUGCUACAUCAUCUGUGGUUGUGGACAAUGCGAAUGAGGAAGCACUUGAGGUUGUUCAAUCAAUGGCGAGUCAAACAAGUGCUUUUGUUGACAAUGAUAUUAACUUUGCAACAUGUGAUGUUGUUCAACCCAAUAUGCCAUCAAUUUCUAACAUUGCUGAAAGCAAUGAGCAAUGCGGGUCUUCGGUGGUGUUGGACAUAGAACCACCAAUUGAUUGGAGCCUAAUUGAGAUUGCUCCUCCAAAUGAAGAUGAAGUGGAUGUUCCAGUUACAGAGGAGAAUAUGUGUGAUUUUCUAGGUAUCGAGGAGGAUGAGACACAUGAAGCACCUUCUUCACCACCUAGUGAAGAUGCGUAUCUCACUGAUGAGGAGGACCAACAACUAUUAACUGAGGCUGCUAUUCCUGUUGAUGACAAGAUAGCUCAAGAGGAGGAGAUUGCAUAUGACAAAGAGAACCCUCGUAUGUAUGUAGGUGCCUUGUUUCCUUCAAUGGAAGAGUUCAGGAUGGCAAUAAAACAAUAUGCCAUUAACAAUGAAAUUGACAUAUGGGGAUAUAAAACAGACAAAAAAAGAUAUCUCGGACUAUGCAGAGGCAUCAAGUGUCCAUGGAGAAUAACUGCUCGUUUAAGGGCUGAUAAGAAAACAAUAAGGGCCAUUUGUUUUGUAUGGAUGCAGGUCACUAAGAUGAGUAAGAAACACAAGUGUUCUUCGAGUAGCAGAGUAAAAACCACCAUGGCAACACAAGGUUGGGUUAAAGCCAAGGCAAUGAGUAUACUCCAGAAUGAUCCUACCAUAGGAUGUAAAGAACUACAAGAGAAACUCGAAGAAACUUAUGACAUCACCAUUGGUUAUGAUACAGUUUGGGCGGGUAAAUCUAGAGCCGAAAAACAGAUUUAUGGCACUUUGAAGCAGAGUUUUCAGAAUUUGCAUAACUUCAAAGCAGAAGUUGAGAAGAGAUCUCCAGGGAGCAUCGUAGAGGUUGAUACCAAGGUAGUAGAUGGUAAAGUCCACUUUCACAGAUUCUUUAUGGCUCUUAAACCUUCCAUAGAUGGUUUUCUAGCUGGUUGUAGACCAUAUCUCAGCAUAGACUCUACGGCAUUGAAUGGUAGAUGGAGAGGACACUUGGCAGCUUGUACAGCAUUAGAUGGUCAUAACUGGAUGUUUCCUGUUGCAAUUGGGUUCAUUGAUGGAGAGACCGAGGAAAACUGGACUUGGUUCAUGUCACAACUCAAUAGAGCUUUAGGUUCAGUCCCUAACUUAGCUAUAUGUACAGAUGCAUGCAAAGGUUUAGAAAAUGUUGUCAAAAAGGUUUUUCCUCAUGUGGAACAGAGAGAGUGUUUUAAGCACUUGAUGGCAAACUUCACAAAAAAAUUCAAAGGUGAUGUGUUUGGUAGGAUGUGGCCUGCUGCUAGGGCAUAUAGGCCUGAAGUUUUCUCCCAUCAUAUGCAGAAAGUCUUGGCAGCUAGUAGCUGUGUGCAUGAAUAUUCGUCAACCUAUCACAGUUUGAAGUGGAUGAGAUGCAGUUUCAAUGCAGACAUCAAGUGUGAUUAUAUAAACAACAAUCUGGCCGAGUCUUUUAAUAACUGGAUAAAAGAUUAUAAAGACUUGCCUGUUGAUGAGCUUGCUGACACAUAUAGAGAAUUGUUGAUGAAACUAGUAUACAAAAGAAGGAGAAUUGGGGAGAAAUUGAGGGGAAAGAUCAUUCCUGCUGUUAUUCAACAGAUUUUCAAUAGGACUAGAGGGCUUGGUCAUCUAAAAGUUGGAAAAUCAGGUAAUGGUAGUUGUGAAGUCAGGGACACAAGCAAAAACAGUCUUAGGCAUGUUGUGAAGGUUGACAAACAUGAAUGCACUUGUUUGGAGUGGCAGCACACCGGAAAGCCUUGUGAGCAUGCUCUAGUAUUUUUGAUGGGGAGGAGAAACCCCAAAUGGGUAGACUAUGUUCAUAAUUAUUUCUCCUUGGACAAGUUUAGGGCAGCUUAUGCAGGUGAGAUUGAGCCCAUGACAGAUAGGAGUCAAUGGCCUCAUGUGGAUGUUGGUUUCGACAUGGAUGCACCGAUUGACAAAGGAAGACCGCCUAGAAGGCCUAGAAAGUAG